rnacentral:rRNA from 1 species
AUACGGAGGGUGCGAGCGUUAAUCGGAAUUACUGGGCGUAAAGCGUGCGUAGGCGGUUUGCUAAGUCAGAUGUGAAAGCCCCGGGCUUAACCUGGGAACUGCAUUUGAUACUGGCAGACUAGAGUAUGAUAGAGGGGGGUAGAAUUCCUGGUGUAGCGGUGAAAUGCGUAGAUAUCAGGAGGAAUACCAGUGGCGAAAGCGGCCCCCUGGAUCAAUACUGACGCUGAGGUACGAAAGCGUGGGGAGCGAACAGGAUUAGAAACCCCAGUAGUCC